rnacentral:rRNA from 1 species
UACGUAGGGGGGCGAGCGUUGUCCGGAUUUAUUGGGCGUAAAGAGCGUGUAGGCGGCCAGGUAGGUCCGUUGUGAAAACUCGAGGCUCAACCUCGAGACGUCGAUGGAAACCAUCUGGCUAGAGUCCGGAAGAGGAGAGUGGAAUUCCUGGUGUAGCGGUGAAAUGCGCAGAUAUCAGGAAGAACACCUAUGGCGAAGGCAGCUCUCUGGGACGGUACUGACGCUGAGACGCGAAAGCGUGGGGAGCGAACAGG